GCCCUUUUCCGGUUGAUCCUGCCGGAGGCCAUUGCUAUUGGAGUCCGAUUUAGCCAUGCUAGUUGUACGAGUUCAGACUCGUAGCAGAUAGCUCAGUAACACGUGGCCAAACUACCCUCUGGAGCGCGACAACCUCGGGAAACUGAGGCUAAUCGUGCAUACCGCUCUCAUGCUGGAAUUGCAGAGAGCUCGAAACGCCCCGGCGCCAGAGGAUGUGGCUGCGGCCGAUUAGGUAGACGGUGGGGUAACGGCCCACCGUGCCAGUAAUCGGUACGGGUUGUGAGAGCAAGAGCCCGGAGACGGUAUCUGAGACAAGAUACCGGGCCCUACGGGGCGCAGCAGGCGCGAAACCUUUACACUGCACGCCAGUGCGAUAAGGGGACUCCAAGUGCGAGGG
rnacentral:rRNA from 1 species